rnacentral:rRNA from 1 species
UCCUGGGGGGUUCCCUAUUACAUGCAAGUCGAGCGGACAGAUGGGAGCUUGCUCCCUGAUGUUAGCGGCGGACGGGUGAGUAACACGUGGGUAACCUGCCUGUAAGACUGGGAUAACUCCGGGAAACCGGGGCUAAUACCGGAUGCUUGAUUGAACCGCAUGGUUCAAUUAUAAAAGGUGGCUUUUAGCUACCACUUACAGAUGGACCCGCGGCGCAUUAGCUAGUUGGUGAGGUAACGGCUCACCAAGGCGACGAUGCGUAGCCGACCUGAGAGGGUGAUCGGCCACACUGGGACUGAGACACGGCCCAGACUCCUACGGGAGGCAGCAGUAGGGAAUCUUCCGCAAUGGACGAAAGUCUGACGGAGCAACGCCGCGUGAGUGAUGAAGGUUUUCGGAUCGUAAAACUCUGUUGUUAGGGAAGAACAAGUACCGUUCGAAUAGGGCGGUACCUUGACGGUACCUAACCAGAAAGCCACGGCUAACUACGUGCCAGCAGCCGCGGUAAUACGUAGGUGGCAAGCGUUGUCCGGAAUUAUUGGGCGUAAAGCGCGCGCAGGCGGUUUCUUAAGUCUGAUGUGAAAGCCCCCGGCUCAACCGGGGAGGGUCAUUGGAAACUGGGGAACUUGAGUGCAGAAGAGGAGAGUGGAAUUCCACGUGUAGCGGUGAAAUGCGUAGAGAUGUGGAGGAACACCAGUGGCGAAGGCGACUCUCUGGUCUGUAACUGACGCUGAGGCGCGAAAGCGUGGGGAGCGAACAGGAUUAGAUACCCUGGUAGUCCACGCCGUAAACGAUGAGUGCUAAGUGUUAGAAGGGUUUCCGCCCUUUAGUGCUGCAGCAAACGCAUUAAGCACUCCGCCUGGGGAGUACGGUCGCAAGACUGAAACUCAAAGGAAUUGACAGGGGCCCGCCACAAGCGGUUGGAGCAUGUGGUUUUAAAUUCGAAGCAACGCGAAAACCUUAACCAGGUCUUGACAGUCUCUGACAACCUAGAGAAUAGGACGUUCCCCUUUCGGGGGCAGGAUGACAGUGUGCAUGAUGUCGGUCACCUCGUGUCGUGAGAAUGUUUGGUUAGUCCGCCACUGAGCGCAACCCCUUGAUCG